rnacentral:tRNA from 1 species
GGGGCUGUAGCUCCGAGGUAGAGCACUCGCCUAGCGUGCGUGAGGUCCUGGGUUCAGACCCCAGCCCUG